GGAUUGGCGCAUCGGUCGUGCCUCACGGGGUAUGAACUGGUGCAGUCAAUUUCUCACCUUCUGGAGAACCGCGAUGUCCUUAAUUGGGUGCCGUGGGGAACCAGGACCUUUACUUUGAAAAAAUUAGAGUGUUUAAAGCAGGCAUUUUUGCUUGAAUACAUUAGCAUGGAAUAAUAAAAUAGGACGGCAUGGUUCUAUUUUGUUGGUUUCUAGGACCACCGUA
rnacentral:rRNA from 1 species